AAGCUACCUUGCAUCUAAUGAAAUGUGACUAUGAAUCUAAACCUGUGGAUUUUGUGUAAGUUAAAGGAUCCCUCAUGUAUAGGGUUUUGGAAUGUUAAAUUAAAUUUGUGUAAUGAUAUGAACUUAUGGUAAAUCGAUGAUUGUGGAGACUGCAUAGAUUUCCCCACUUGUGGAUUUAUAUUGUGGUUUUUAUUUUGAUGAGUCGAGUUCAGAUUGUAUGAAUUAUCGAGUGAUGUGUGCUAUGUUUAUGAAUUGCACAGGGUUAUGAAUUGGUAGAUUAUAGAAGUGAAAUUUUUUAUCUGAAUGUUUUCUUAGUGACCUCAAAUGUGUGUUUGGAUCCUGGGUUAGUUAUGAUGAAAAAUUUUUAAUAUCAUGGAUAUUUUUUUAGGGGCGUGACAGAUAUCAUGCAUAAUGAUCAUGCUUAAUAAAAUUCGAAAUUAUGCAUGAUGAUUCUUGAGAUUUAUGGAU
rnacentral:lncRNA from 1 species